AGUGAACGCUGGCGGUAGGCCUAACACAUGCAAGUCGAACGGCAGCACAGUAAGAGCUUGCUCUUACGGGUGGCGAGUGGCGGACGGGUGAGGAAUACAUCGGAAUCUACUUUUUCGUGGGGGAUAACGUAGGGAAACUUACGCUAAUACCGCAUACGACCUACGGGUGAAAGCAGGGGAUCUUCGGACCUUGCGCGAUUGAAUGAGCCGAUGUCGGAUUAGCUAGUUGGCGGGGUAAAGGCCCACCAAGGCGACGAUCCGUAGCUGGUCUGAGAGGAUGAUCAGCCACACUGGAACUGAGACACGGUCCAGACUCCUACGGGAGGCAGCAGUGGGGAAUAUUGGACAAUGGGCGCAAGCCUGAUCCAGCCAUACCGCGUGGGUGAAGGAGGCCUUCGGGUUGUAAAGCCCCUUUGUUGGGAAAGAAAAGCAGCAGGUUAAUACCCCGCUGUUCUGACGGUACCCAAAGAAUAAGCACCGGCUAACUUCGUG
rnacentral:rRNA from 1 species